GAUGAACGCUGGCGGCGUGCCUAAUACAUGCAAGUCGAGCGAAUGGAUUAAGAGCUUGCUCUUAUGAAGUUAGCGGCGGACGGGUGAGUAACACGUGGGUAACCUGCCCAUAAGACUGGGAUAACUCCGGGAAACCGGGGCUAAUACCGGAUAAUAUUUUGAACUGCAUGGUUCAAAAUUGAAAGGCGGCUUCGGCUGUCACUUAUGGAUGGACCCGCGUGGCAUUAGCUAGUUGGUGAGGUAACGGCUCACCAAGGCAACGAUGCGUAGCCGACCGGAGAGGGUGAUCGGCCACGCUGGGACUGAGACACGGCGCAGACUCCUACGGGAGGCAGCAGUAGGGAAUCUUCCGCAAUGGACGAAAGUCCGACGGAGCAACGCCGCGUGAGUGAUGAAGGCUUUCGGGUCGUAAAACUCUGUUGUUAGGGAAGAACAAGUGCUAGUUGAAUAAGCUGGCACCUUGACGGUACCUAACCAGAAAGCCACGGCUAACUACGUGCCAGCCGCCGCAGUAA
rnacentral:rRNA from 1 species